UUAAUUGAAACCAAAAAAGAGGUGAUUUAUUGUUAAUAAAUUUAUUGAAUUAUUAUUUUUCCAAUUAAA
rnacentral:tRNA from 1 species